rnacentral:lncRNA from 1 species
UCAAACGACGACAAACAUGCGAGCGUUGCUUGCAAAACACGGCUGUGUGUGCUGCGCGAUGCGAGCGGCAGCAAAGUUCGUGCGUGACCGGUGUCACAAAAAAGGUUUUCUUCUGCUCGAUCGGAAGAAGUGGCUAUGUGCUGUCAGGCGCGUCGUCUGGUCCCGGGAUCAAAACGCUUGUUCGUGCUCUGACCUGUCUACCUGAUGGAAGCUUUUGGGCUCGCAAAAGCAAACCACGGCAGGCGCCUGAAGGAAGGUGCAAUGCCAACGCUGUUGGUACCCACGAAACCCAGCCAGCCACCGUUCCGCGGUGGAGUGUACUCAGGCGAAGAUGAGCACAGCUCGCCCAAGAAGCACCCGAUGCUGCCGAGCAGGUUCAUUAUCCUGUGGACCGUAGAAAGUGUGACCCGAGCUGCCACGCUCCAACGAGCUUGGGGCACAGUGAACAGCCCCCUGUUUUAGUACUGCAGCACAACACAAUUCUGACUCUGGUGCCAAGACGCAGGUUGGUUGCAGCCAAGGGCUGCACAGACCUGUUUCAAGAACCUCGCUGUUGACACCAAGAUACAUAGCCAUCAGGUGUUCUGGUUGAAGAAGUCUCGAGGUGUUGCUACAAGUGCUCCGCUAACAACUACAUCCAUCAGAAAGUGCAGCUGUGAGCUGUUGUGCGAAGACGGCUUUCCCUGCUGGUGAAUGUUGGCUUCGUUUUGAGUGGAAGCAGCAUGAGUCCUCAUUUAGUGAGCAAACUAUGAAAAGGUAUGCCGUUUUUUCUUCUCCAUUAGGCUGAAUUUGUUAGUUGAAUAGCUUUCGUUUAUCUGCGCCAAUUUUUGUAAUUAUAUUGCCAUGCGAAUUUAUUCCUUUAUUUUUAUGUAUUCAUGUUUCACCCACAAAAAACUGUUAGCAACGCUCGGCGUCAACCACGCCGCAAUGUUGUGGAAGCUUCGCGAUUGCUCGAGAUCAUUCUGUUAAGAUUAUGUGCAGUAAGCGAAUAGUCAAGUUGAUUCGAGAACGUACGCGAGCACCAGCGAUAACUCUGGAAAGUUCUAUGCCUGAUGUUUAAAAGACGACGCGUUCCACCGAUGAU